ACCCCUGUUAGAGGUCUUUUACCUCACGUGGGGCAAACGGCGGCUCAAUUCUUCAAGUCCCGAAACCGCAGGGACCGCAGACCUCGGGAAGGCAAACUAGCAGAGCACUCUCAGACAGAGGGGUGUGCAGCCUCCUCUUCCUACCCCAACGACCGAAACCAAAGCCAAGGGAACAGCUACUGAUGAGGCCAGGGUGGGUGCAAAUCCACUGGCAACACGGUCAUUGCUGAGUAACUCUGCAGAAAGCCAGACCAAGAUCUGACGGCCAAGGCAUAACCAGGCAUGGGCUUCCAACAGAAACCUACUAGGGGGAGCCACUUCCUUUCAUCAACUGCAUACACACCAAUGCUGGCACCUUGGUAUACACAGUACCUCUUAGUAAUCCCUGUCACUAUGAAAGUACCGGCUCUGACAGAUACAAGCAUAGUGACAGCCGUAAGCCCCCUCACCUCGUCAAGGUGGGAUACUCUCGAGGGGGUGAGGAGUAUGGCUCAUAUCGAUUUGCUCGUCAUUUAAUCUCUGCC
rnacentral:lncRNA from 1 species